rnacentral:rRNA from 1 species
UACGAAGGGUGCAAGCGUUACUCGGAAUUACUGGGCGUAAAGCGUGCGUAGGUGGUUUGUUAAGUCUGAUGUGAAAGCCCUGGGCUCAACCUGGGAAUUGCAUUGGAUACUGGCAGGCUAGAGUGCGGUAGAGGGUAGUGGAAUUCCCGGUGUAGCAGUGAAUGCGUAGAGAUCGGGGAGGAACAUCCGUGGCGAAGGCGACUACCUGGACCAGCACUGACACUGAGGCACGAAAGCGUGGGGAGCAAACAGG